rnacentral:piRNA from 1 species
UAUGAUUCUUGUGUAUAAUUGUGUUCUUAG